UCUAUAUAGAUCUCGAAGUAAACAUUGCAUGAUUCGAUAAUUUUUUUUUGUUGGUUACAAGGGGUCAAAGACCCAACAACAGCUAGAAAUGAAAAAAUUGAACGCGUGAUCUAUCAACCAAAACAAGAGUACUUAUUUCAGAAGGAAGCAAGGAAGCAGAAUGAAAAUCAAUUGAAUCUUAUAGCCGAGCCAAUCUAUCAACAGGUUGGUUGGCUUCACGAAAAACAUGGAAUAUGAAAAAGCUUAAAGAGUACAAACAAAGCUUGAAGUCAGCAAGGA
rnacentral:lncRNA from 1 species